rnacentral:lncRNA from 1 species
AUUGAGAAACCGUCAUUUGAAUGUCCACCAUUUGAAUGUCCACCCUCACAGUCUGUAUUCUUCAAAGGCAUUUUAUGUUUUCCAUUUUAUGUGAAACCCUCAUUAUUCUUUGAUUUCCUCCCAAUCUCUCAUCUCUUUCCUAUUUUUCCUAUUACAAAUCUGCAACCAAGAGUCUCUCAAGUUUCAACAAACCCGCCACACACCUUUGUUCGAAGUGCUUGUGGUCCAGCGAGAAAGAGAGGCGCAAUAUCGGCUAGGGUUUCAAGCACGGUUGACUUUCCGGCGGCUUAAUACGACCCCUCUCCGACAAUCGUCACUGAAAAUUUUUGUUUCUUCUCUUGACUUUGGUUCUGUUCAAAUCAGUAUAAAUUAAUUUUGGGAUUUAAUUUAAUUUGGUCUUUGACCAGGUGCUUGCAUUUGUAAAUUGAAGCCAUUUUGGAGACUCUGGAAUAGUACAGAAGUGACGGUCGUGGAGUAAUAGGUGUGUUGGAGGCUAAUUUUGUAGAACCAGCUCAUGAUAAACAAGGAUUCAAGCACACCAUUGUUCUUUUAAGACUUGAAGCACGUCUUAUUCAGAUGCAGUAGACAUAUUGAUUAAGACUGAUAAAGUUAGCGAUCUUUCGCUACGAGGCUUCUGAGCGAAACGUAAGGGAGUUCUUUUCCUUUUCGGGAGAUAUUGUUUAUGUUGACACGCCAAGCUACCAGUGGUCAUAGUGGAGCUGAAGAGGUGGCUUUAGGACAUUGAGGUUGUUAUUGUGAUCAGAUUGUCAUAUAUUGAUUCUGUUUGAAACUUCAUCCCAAUAUGUUCCUGUUUGCAGUUUUUGUUAUAAUUUUUAGUAUAGGUUAUCAUAAUUCUAGAUGGAAAUAGAAAGGAUGCACUUUUAUAUCAUUUAUGUUGACUUCAAAAGUCAAACAUUGCGUUUUUCAAUUUCUAUUUAUUUAAUUUUGGUAUAUAAGGAUAAUGUAGAUAUAUCUUGAUUUGGGUAUUUGUGGGUGAGAGUUAUAAUAACUGGAUGGUAGAUAACAUUGCAUUUUUAAAUCUUUUCUGUUGA